CUGCUGUGGAGGAAGCUGGAGCGCUCCAUAAAAGCAGCCAUCAGUCUCCUGAGCUGUCACUGUUGUCACCUGCUUGCGGUCUGGAGACACACAGCACUCCCUGGGAGCCUCGUUUCCUGGUUGCUUCACUUUCUUGUCUUCAGAGUCACAUUCCUGAGUCCAGAUCCAGGAUCCAUGGCUUUUCUUGGAGCGAUAGGUGCUGGUGCUGCAGCAGCGGGCGCGGCCACAUCCGUGGGUCAAGCCAUCAGUCAAGGUUCUCCAACACACCGGCAGUGCCAUAUGACCAUUACCAAUAGAUGCAGCAGCUACUCGCUUGUCAACCCCAGGUGGUACACUAAGAGUGGACGCUGUGCUGAACCCUUCCCACCCACCAUUCCCUCCAACGCACUGGAGAGCGCUCUGUUCAAGAAGACUCCUCACGCCGCCCGUGGAUCCGCCGGUGUCGUCACCUACGACCUCUUGCACAACAAAAGCAAACGAAUCAGUGAGAAAAUUGCUAUAAUGUUCUCCAAUCCCUACGACUUAAAUCUUCGCUCAAACGUGUUUGCAGUGGGAAUCUUUGAUAAGUGGAAGGAGUGUAAUAGGUCUCUGCAUGAUGAGAUGGAGGGCACAUGCAGCCCGUACUUUGUCAGAAGUGAAGCAAGUGGCGGAGCCUUAAAUUUCGAAGGCAAAGCAGUUACCAUCAGGGCGACCAUGUCCGACGGCCAUCAGACUGUGAUGAAGGUGGAAGUCAGUGAGAGUCAGUGAAAUGAGUGAUGAGAGACAGCUUUCACUGUCUGGAUGAUAGAACAUUGUGGAAGACAAUAAAAAAAAAAAAAAGAAUCAAUAAUAUUUCAGAGAUCUUUAAAGUGUGGUGGGAUGAGGUUGAACCGAUCCCCCA